GAUCAUGGCUCAGAGUGAACGCUGGCGGCGUGCUUAACACAUGCAAGUCGAACGAGAACGGAUUAUAGCUUGCUAUAAUUGUCAGCUAAGUGGCGCACGGGUGAGUAAUGUAUAGGUAAUAUGCCUCUUACUAAGGGAUAACAAUUGGAAACGAUUGCUAAUACCUUAUAUUCCUUUUUAUCAAAAGAUAAAAAGGGAAAGAUUUAUUGGUAAGAGAUUAGCCUGUAUUGUAUCAGUUAGUUGGUGGGGUAAUGGCCUACCAAGACAAUGACGCAUAACUGGUUUGAGAGGAUGAUCAGUCACACUGGAACUGAGACACGGUCCAGACUCCUACGGGAGGCAGCAGUGGGGAAUAUUGCACAAUGGACGAAAGUCUGAUGCAGCAACGCCGCGUGGAGGAUGACACAUUUCGGUGCGUAAACUCCUUUUAUAUAAGAAGAUAAUGACGGUAUUAUAUGAAUAAGCACCGGCUAACUCCGUG
rnacentral:rRNA from 1 species